rnacentral:rRNA from 4 species
UUGACCUCGGAUCAGGUAGGACUACCCGCUGAACUUAAGCAUAUCAAUAAGCGGAGGAAAAGAAACCAACAGGGAUUGCCCCAGUAACGGCGAGUGAAGCGGCAACAGCUCAGAUUUGGAAUCUGGCCCCCAGGGCCCGAGUUGUAAUCUGGAGAGGAUGCUUCUGGCGCGGCGCCUUCCGAGUUCCCUGGAACGGGACGCCGGAGAGGGUGAGAGCCCCGUACGGUCGGACGCCUAGCCUUUGUGAAGCUCCUUCGACGAGUCGAGUAGUUUGGGAAUGCUGCUCAAAAUGGGAGGUAAAUUUCUUCUAAAGCUAAAUAUUGGCCAGAGACCGAUAGCGCACAAGUAGAGUGAUCGAAAGAUGAAAAGCACUUUGAAAAGAGG